GGAGAGGUAACUGAGGCAUGGAGAUAGGUGAGCACACCCCGUCCCCUGCCUGGCCACUGCAAGUCUCUGCAAGAGAAGCCCCUAAAAGCCAGCCCAGCCCUGGACCGUGGCUCAGACACCACUGAGGACACAGCAAGAAUACAGCUGUCCCCAAGCCAGGAAGAGGGUCCUCCACCAGGAACCAAAUCUCGGGCAUUCUGAACUUGGACUUCCCAGGUUCCAAAAACGUGAGAAGUCACUUUCUGUUGCUUAUGCCACCCAGUCUGGUGUUUUGUUAUGGCAUCAGCAACAGCCUUUUCCUCCUCAACUAACCACAGAAUUUUUUUAAUUUUUA